UCGUUUAAAACAAUUUUUGAUUUUUCUUCUUGUUGUAAUUUUGAAAUUAUUUUACAGGAUGGUCCCUCCUGUGGGGGUUUUGAAAUUAAUUUACAGGAUGAUUCCUCCUGUGGGGAUUUUGAGAUAACUUUUUGGGAAGGUGUUUGGGAAGAUUCUCCCUUUUCUUGCCCUGAUGAAGAUGGCAAUUCAAGCGAGAGAUAUUCAAUUUCUUUUUGGAGUCUUUGGAGUCUUGCAAUUUUUUGAAGAUGAAGGUCUUCUUCAAUUAUAUUCUUGAUUUCUUGGAAUUUGUCAGGUUCAACUGUUUGUUGGCUAGCAAGCCAUUUUUGGAUUUGGUUUUGUUCUUCAUUUUCUUCGACGGCUUCCACCCA
rnacentral:lncRNA from 1 species